GACGAACGCUGGCGGCGUGCCUAAUACAUGCAAGUCGAACGAGAGCGACCGGUGCUUGCACUGGUCAAUCUAGUGGCGAACGGGUGAGUAACACGUGGGUAACCUGCCCAUCAGAGGGGGAUAACAUUCGGAAACGGACGCUAAAACCGUAUAGGUUUUCGAACCGCAUGGUUUGAUGAGGAAAAGAGGCGCAAGCUUCUGCUGUUGGAUGGACCCGCGGUGCAUUAGCUAGUUGGUGAGGUAACGGCUCACCAAGGCCGUGAUGCAUAGCCGACCUGAGAGGGUGAUCGGCCACAUUGGGACUGAGACACGGCCCAAACUCCUACGGGAGGCAGCAGUAGGGAAUCUUCCGCAAUGGACGCAAGUCUGACGGAGCAACGCCGCGUGAGUGAAGAAGGUUUUCGGAUCGUAAAACUCUGUUGUUAGAGAAGAAUAAGUGCUAGAGUAACUGUUAGCGCCUUGACGGUAUCUAACCAGAAAGCCACGGCUAACUACGUG
rnacentral:rRNA from 1 species